AGUAUAUCAUUGUUAACCUUCUGAUAAAAAAAUCAACAGCAAAAGAAGAUGUUAAAAAUAAAGUUUAUGGUUGUGAAUAAAAUUGAUUUCAAUAAUCUUUUUUAAUUAUUAUUUUAAAACAACUUUAUGUUGUUGUGUUUCACGCCAUAUUAUCAGACCACCUUAAGUGGGUCGGCCUUAAAUUUUGAAUUUGUGUGAUCGCUGUUGAUUGGUAGCUAAACUGCUGGUAAACUGUGUACAGACGUUUUACGUUCGAAUUGCAGAGAAAAAAAAUCUGGUAGCAACAUUGUGCAGUAUGAGCGAACCAUUUCACCAAAAAAAGGGGAAGCAAGGUAAGACGUGGCUGCAGCGGUCUGCAGACGUGACUUCUGAUCAAAUUCGAACCUCCUAAAGAAACAAAGAGCGACGUUACAUUGCGGGAUGACGUCACCUGAAAAUGACCAAUAGCGCGGCGCGCUGCUGAGCUGUGUGCCAACCGCUCUUUUUUUCAUGCAGGAGACUCAAGUUGGCUUCGCUAACGGACACAGUUUUGAACUCGUAUAUUAGCGCCAUUUAUUGCUGCUUGGACCACAGCAUCUUCGGAAUUUGUAGACAUCCUGGCAGCUUACAAUUAGUUCGAGACAUCUUGGAAAUGGGGGGCAGCAUAAGGAGUUCCAUUACUAAGGUGCUGCCGGACCUGUCUGCCUCAAUCCUUGAAAUUGUACUGGAGGCACUACAAUCAUUAGGAGUGGAGACAUCUGAGAAACAAACCACACCAAAUAUGGAAAUUUCAAGCCAGGCCAGCAUA